CAUGGACAUGACCCCCCUGGUGCUCAGCACGGCGGCCGUGUCGGGCCUCCCGCUCCUCACCAUCUUCCUCUGCUAUCACAUGACGCAGGGGAGGCGGCAGGACCGCGACGUCUCUUCCAUGGACAAGGCGAGGUCCUUCGAAAUGACUGGCACCAUGGACAUCAUUCCCAGCUGAUGGAGAUCUUCUGGGGUGUUUCUCACUUGGCUGAGUCAACCCCAGCCUUCCCCAAGGUUUAGUGGGUUCAG